GAUGAACGCUGACAGAAUGCUUAACACAUGCAAGUCGAUGGGGAAGUGGUGCUUGCACCCUGGCAACCAUGGCGGACGGGUGAGUAACGCGUAAGGGACUUACCUGCAGGACUGGGAUAACAGGGGGAAACUCCUGACAAGACCGGAUAAUGUCAUGGAGCUGCAUGGCUUUAUGAUGAAAGGAGACGCCUGCGGAGAGCCUUGCGUCCUAUUAGCUAGUUGGUGAGGUAAUGGCUCACCAAGGCGAAGAUAGGUAGCCGGCCUGAGAGGGUGGACGGCCACAAGGGGACUGAGAUACGGCCCUUACUCCUACGGGAGGCAGCAGUGGGGAAUAUUGGACAAUGGGGGCAACCCUGAUCCAGCAAUGCUGUGUGCACGAAGAAGGUUUUCGGAUUGUAAAGUGCUUUCAGCAGGGAAGAAGUAAGUGACGGUACUGCAGAAGAAGCGACGGCUAAAUACGUG
rnacentral:rRNA from 1 species